CACCUCUCCUCAUCACCCUCUCACACAACGUCACCCCCCCUCACACGGCCACCACUCCCCGUACACACGGGCACCACUCUCCGCACUCUGGCACCUCCCUCCAUACACACUGUCAACCCUCAACACUGGCACCCUCCUGUUCUUUUACACUCACACUGCCACAGUUACCCCUUUACUCACCCUGUCACCCCCUGAAGGCAAUCAUUAUACACACCAUCAUAAAACAUAGCUUCGCCAUAAACUCGGUGCCAAAGGCCACAGUCAGUACACAAACAUACACAUGCUCAGAGAAGCAUACAUACAGAUACAAGGAUACUCACUGUCAGACACACACCCAGGUAGACAAUGCGACGAUGUAAACAGAGACUAGCUCUAUAUGUAUCCAGUGCUGCAAGCUCCCCCAUCAAUAUAUCUACAGCUUCUUAUACACAAAGUCAACUGCUAUUUUUUCUUCAAUAAUGGUGUUCUUCGUGGGGGCCUCAUGUAUGAG